UACGUAGGGGGCAAGCGUUAUCCGGAUUUACUGGGUGUAAAGGGAGCGCAGACGGGAUAGCAAGCCAGAUGUGGAAGCCAUAGGCAUAACCUGUGGAGUGCAUUUGGAACUGUUAACCUUGAGUGCCGGAGGGGUAAGCGGAAUUCCCAGUGUAGCGGUGAAAUGCGUAGAUAUUGGGAAGAACACCGGUGGCGAAGGCGGCUUACUGGACGGUAACUGACGUUGAGGCUCGAAAGCGUGGGGAG
rnacentral:rRNA from 1 species